GAUGAACGCUGGCGGCGUGCCUAAUACAUGCAAGUCGAGCGAACAGACGAGGAGCUUGCUCCUCUGACGUUAGCGGCGGACGGGUGAGUAACACGUGGAUAACCUACCUAUAAGACUGGGAUAACUUCGGGAAACCGGAGCUAAUACCGGAUAAUAUAUUGAACCAUGCGGUUCAAUAGAUUAUCCGGUAUUAGCUGUGGCUUAUAGAAGGAUCCGCGCCGCAUUAGCUAGUUGGUAAGGUAACGGCUUACCAAGGCGACGAUGCGUAGCCGACCUAAGAGGGUGAUCGGCCACACUGGAACUGAGACACGGUCCAGACUCCUACGGGAGGCAGCAGUAGGGAAUCUUCCGCAAUGGGCGAAAGCCUGACGGAGCAACGCCGCGUGAGUGAUGAAGGUCUUCGGAUCGUAAAACUCUGUUAUUAGGGAAGAACAAAUGUGUAAGUAACUAUGCACGUCUUGACGGUACCUAAUCAGAAAGCCACGGCUAACUACGUG
rnacentral:rRNA from 1 species